CCGGGACACCGCAACAGGGAAUUAUUGCUGCUGGAGAGAGUCAGUAUGUGCAUGGUGCACUGCUCCUGGAGAGGGUCAGUGUGAAAUUGUAUACUGCUGCUGGGUACGGUUGAAUUCUGAAGAAUCUGAUCACUUGUGGGCUGCCAGCAGAGAAUGUCGAGUAAGGAAGCUGCAGAAUUAUUACAAGAAGCCAGCUUAGUUUGCUCCGUAUGUCAUGCAAUGCAUCUGCUUCAAUCAUUGCACUGGCAUUCAGAUGAAACAAUAUUACAACGAUGUACAAAAAUGAAAUAUUAUGGGGAUUGGAAAUCUGAAAUAAAAACAGAAAAUGCUGGAGAGACUCAGCAGGUCUGGUACUAUCUGUUGGGAUGGAAACAGAAUGAACAUUUGGAGUCCGAUAUGUCUCUUCUUCAGAACACUUUGAAUGCUGUGUUUCUCUAUUUCUUUCUGUUUUCAUUACGAGAAUGUAUGUUAUUAUGUCUUGUGCUCAAACAAAGUGUUAUCUAAAAUAUUAGUCGUAACGUUAUCAGCUGCAUAUAUAUAAAUGCUCAAAUUAAUGAAAAGAACAUUUUUUUCAAAACAGAGGACAUUCAGUUGACUAUAAAUGAAAGGCUGUGUUUGUGAAGAAUACAUACAGCUUUCUGGGAGAUGCAGAGUCAAUGGGGUGAUGUGCCUCUGGUCUUGUGGGUAGGAAAAUCACUGGUAUUUGAGUUAUAGUCGGAGGGAAAGGCUGCCACGGGUCUGAAGGGAAACAGUCCUACUCCUCUUUCUCCCAUUCACGAGGGGGAGGCAAUGGCUUCAUGGUGUUAUUGCUGGACUGUCAAUCCAGAAGCCGAGACAACAUUCUGGGGACCCAGGUUCACGUCCCGACCAUGGCGGAUGGCGGAAUUUGAAUCCAAUAAAAUAUCUGGAAUUAAGAAUCUAAUGAUGACUGGGAAUCCAUUGUUGAUUGUCAGAAAAACCCAUCUGGUUCACUAAUGUCCUUUCGGGAAGGAAACUGCCAUCCUUAUCUGAUCUGGCCUACAUAUGACUACAGACCCACAGCAAUGUGGUUGGCUCUUAACUGCAAUUAGGGAUGGGCAAUAAAUGCUGCCUAGACAGUGACACCCUCAUCCCAUAGAUGAACAAAGACAAUGCUCGUCAUUGUCGAAACAUAGAAAGUAGAAACAGGAGAAAGCCAUUUGACCCUUUGAACCUUUUCAAUAUGAUAAUGGCUGAUCAUGCAAGUCAUUACCCUAUUUCCGCUCUCUCCUUAUACAUUUUGAUCCUUUUUAGCUUUAAGAAUAAUCAAACUCCUUCUUGAAAACAUUGAAUAUUUUCUCCACAACCACUUUCUGCAGCAGAGAAUUCCACAGCCUCUUUCUGUGUUUCUGACUGUAUCACUGUCUGGGAGAAGAGCUUUCUCUUCAACGCAGUUCUAGGUGGCCUACCCCAUAUUCUUAGACUGGGGUUGUGGUCAAAAAUCUGCCCUAGCUCUUGCUCUCCUCAUGCUGACUGUGCGUCUGCUCUCCCUCCACUCCCCUUGUUCCCCUUCUCUCCAUGCUCAUCCUGCUCCUGCACUCUUCACGUUCCUUCUCUCCCCGCAGUCUCCCUGUUUCCUGCUCUCCCUGUGCAAGCAGACCCACCAACCCCCACCUUCACACACACUUCUGAUCUUGCUGCUAAGCUCCCCCUACCUCCUGCUCUCCCCACACACUCCCUGCUCUGUGCUCUCUCCAAGUCCCUAUCUCUCCCUGCACUCCUACUCUCUCCUUUGACAUGGAUUGCAGAACACAGAGGUACAGAGGAACCUGGGUGUCCCAAUACAUCGUUGCAGAAAGUUAGAAUGCAGAAACAGUAACUAAUUAAGGAAGACAAAUGCUAUGUUGUCAUGUAUUGAAAGCUGAAUAGAAUAUGAAAGGGAGGUUUUGCUGCUGGUAUAGAAAACAUUGAUGAGGCCACCUGUUUUCUUAAAGUGGAAUUGAAAUGCUCCUUAUAUUUGGCUCAUUCAUUUUAUGGUCUAAAAUGAAAUAUCCUAAUAUUUUGUGUGAUCAUGGGUGAUCUUCCUAUCUCAGUGUCACAUCAAAAGGAUAGACUUGUGCAAACGGUGCUGACACUUAAGCACAUAAGAAAGGUCGGUGUCUUUUCCCUAAGUUGAGGGAUUUCAAGGCCGGGGGAUCAUUUUUAAGGUGAAAGGAGAGAGAUUUAAAAAAGACACGAGGGGCAAAUUUAUUGCACAGAGGGUGGUUCACGUGUGGAUGAACUUCCUGAGGAAGUGGCGGAUGUGGGCACAAUCACAACAUUUAAAAGACAUUUGGAUAAGUACAUGAAUAGGAAAGAUUUGGAGGGAUGUGGGCCAGGAGCAGGUGGGUGGGACUAGGUAAGUUUGGAGAUGGACUGGUUGGACUGAAGGAUUUGUUUCGGUGUUGUGUGACUCCAUGACUAUGAUCAUGACUGAUGAAGACAAGAUGAUUUGUUCCUGUGGUGUGCCCUUUUAUACAGAUUCUCUUCACUUUACUGUAAAAAAAACUUCACCUUGAGAAGCAUUAA